UUGAAAUUAGAAUGAAACUAAGAUUACACUGUUUUAAACAAUGAGACUUAUGGCAUAACAAUGGAAGCCGAUAUCGCUAACCUCACCAACAAUAUUGAAAUGAUCAUUAAAACAGAGAAUCUGGUUGGAAUCCCAUACUGCAGGUUCCUGGGAUGGAAAGGGAAAUCCUGAGUGGACAACAUUUGGCUGCGAGACAGAAAAAAUCAACAGUAACACUAUUAAGUGUUCAUGUUCACAUCUGACGUUCUUUGCUGUCCUGAUGUCUCCGGUCACAGAUGCAAACGAUGUAGCGCCGUAUCUGGAGUCACUGACCCUCAUCUCUUCUAUUGGCUGUGGGAUCUCUGUGUUUUUUCUGGCCAUCGCUCUGUUCAUGCAUUUCCUGCUGCGGAAAGCCAAAUCCAAUCAGGCCACAAAGAUCCUGAUCAACAUGUUCGGUGCUCUGUUUCUCCUGAAUGUGUCUUUUCUGUCAA